rnacentral:rRNA from 1 species
CCUACGGGAGGCUGCAGUGAGGAAUAUUGGGCAAUGCCCGCAAGGGUGACCCAGCAACGCCGCGUGGAGGAUGAAGGCCGUAAGGUUGUAAACUCCUGUUAGAGGAGAAGAAUAGUACCGAUUGUAUCGGUAUUUGACUGUACCCUCAGAGAAAGCCCCGGCUAACUACGUGCCAGCAGCCGCGGUAAUACGUAGGGGGCCGGCGUUGUCCGGAUUUACUGGGUGUAAAGGGGGCGCAGAAGUGAUAGGAGAAAUCCUACAGCUUAACUGUAGAAGUGCCUUUGAUACUGUUAUUCUUGAGUACGGGAGAGGGAGACGGAAUUCCAGGUGUAGUGGUGAAAUACGUAGAUAUCUGGAAGAACACCAGUUGCGAAGGCGGUCUCUUGGUCCGAUACUGACGCUGAGGCGCGAAAGCGUGGGGAGCAAACAGGAUUAGAUACCCCGGUAGUC